rnacentral:lncRNA from 1 species
AUGACUUCCUUGACUUACCGGUCCCGGGAUUCUUGGGAAGGAACAGGAGAGGGAGCCUGGGAAAGGGGAGGGUCUAGUUUCCCUCACAAAGGCAACAGCACGAGACUCACCUUCGGCUCUGGCGCGGCUGCUACCAUGCGCCCGGGUGGGGCCAGAGAGAGAAGCAAAGAGCCCACUCCAUCAGAACCAGCCUUACUGCAAGAGGUGACCCUGCCUUCGAAGGGAAGAAACAGCGCUGUGAUGGACGGCAGCAGUGGGAGACACCGGAUGUGAGGAGGCCUUGAAGCUGAGAUGGGAAGACUGAAGAAACCAUGGUCCCGCAAAAUGCAGAUGAACGUUUCCAGGCGAGGCGGAGGGAGCUGAAGGCCUUCUUGUGGAAUAAAACCUCUGUGCCCAAGGAGGAAAGAGGACCACCCCUUCAGUACCGAGGUACUCAUCACAGAGUACAGCGUGCCCUGAUGUUGUUUUCUUCAUGCUUUUUCUGUUGUUGUUUUUUCUUAGGUGGGUUGAUUAAGCUGUUUACACUCGUUAUUUUAUAGCCUUCAUUCAAUUGGGAACAUUUUUACAUGUUAUUUUUUUCAAAUACUUUUUCUGUUUUUCCUCUCUUCUUCUUUGGGGCCUCCGAUUAUAUGAAAACCAGGUUGCUUGAAACUGCCCCACAGACCACUGAUGUGUCUGACGUGUGUGUGUGAGUCCAUCUCUUUUUCCCUCUGUUUCAUUUUGGAUAGUUUCUUUUGCAAUGUAUUCAAGUUCAUUUGCGAUUUUUUUUUCAAGUAUCUUUUCCUCUACCAUGUCUCGUCUGCUACGAAUUUCAUUGAAUGCAUUUUUCUCCUUAGCCACCAGAGUUUUCAUUGCUAGGAGUUUGGGAAGGGGUUGGGUUUUUUGUUCGGUUAUCUGCUUUUCAUUCGCAGCGGCACGCGUGGGCCUAGAUAUUGUCAUGGUAAGUGAGGUAAGCCAGACGGAGAAAGACAAAUUCCAUACGACAUCACUUCUAUGUGGAGUCUAAAAGCAGGGUACAAAUGAACUUAUUUACAAAACAGAAAUAGAGUCACAGAUGCAGAAAACAAAUUUACGGUUACCAGAGGGGAGGUGGGGAGAGACUGGGGUCGUCACAGACACACUAGAAGCUGGAGGAGUCACUUUCUAUCUUCCGAGUCUCUUUCACUGGUAUGUUUGAUGUUUCCUCUGAUUUCUUGAACAUAAAGAACAGUUACAGCAACUGUUUUAAGUGCUUGUCUGCUAAUUCCAUCCUCUGUGUGGUUUUCAGGUCUGUUUAGGGCCUGUUCCUAUUUGUCUAGUUCUUUACAUAAUGACAAUUUUUUACUGAAUGAUAGACAUCAUGGACCUAGUCUGUGAUAGAUGUUUCUAGAUUCCUACAAAUAUCCUCAGGCUUUAUUCUCAGGCACAGCUACAUUUCUGAGAGCAGUUUAAUCAUUUCAGGUCUUGCUUUCAGUGGGAACGAGACAGCCACGACUCCAGGACUGAGGACACCCACUCCUCAGGCGAGACGGCUCUCAGGGACCCUCACCCCCCGAAUCAAAAGUGCUUUUACUCUCUCCAUCCUUGUCUCUCAAGUGACAAAAACAAAGCUUCCUCUUUUCCAAGUAUUUUAUGAGCUGUUCAUGCUCAAUGCCCCUGUCAAAAUCAAUACAUUACGCCAUAUAAAUGCAUGCAUAGAAAAGCAUCCUCUGUCCACAAAGUUUAUGCAGGAACUCAGUCAGGAAUCCUAUUUUAAAAAUGAUCAAGGUCCCACCUACUCAGUCCUUCUCUGGUGCUUUUGAAGUUGUACGAUGUCUGUGCAGCGUGUGGGCGGAUUUCAGUUACGAUCCCCUCUGUUACACGUUGCUGUAAAGUUGCACCAGCCGCUGUUGUAGGUGGAAUGUAAACUUGUGGUAGGAUGGGGAAAGGCACUCAGUGCAAGAGUUUUGAGUUGAGAGACCCACACACCCUUCUGUGGAGCUCUGAGCUCACCCAGCUCCACCAGAGGCAGUCACUUCUGAACCCUGUGUCUUCUGCACUGUGGGUACAGACCCAGCUCAAGUCACCCCAGCCCUGGUCCCAGUGACUCUCCAUCCAUCACCAGGGCUGACAUCCCUUCAACCUCUCAGUAAAAGUCACCGUAAAACUUUGUAGUCAAAAAACCUAUAUGGGAAUAUUUACUGAGGAAGGGGACUAGAACUAGGAUCCUCUCAUUUGAGGGGCCAAAGAGAGCGAUUUACAGUGGGCCCCAGGCUCAAAGGUGUGGCAACUCCCCAGGAAACACUUGCGGAUGAGACAGUGUGUCAGUUAGGAUAGUCUGGGGUGUGCUGCUUACUAACAAAUGCCACCACCAGCCCCCUCUGCAGAGCUUAACUUCUUGCUCAUGGUCGCAUCCAUCGAGGUCAGCCUUAGCUGUGCUCAGGGCUAUCUUCAGUCUGGGACCUAACCCCAGGGAACAAUGAUCUGGGCAUUCAUCAGUCUUCACACAGAGGAAUGGAGGGAACGGAAGAGCUGUGGACUGGCUUUUGAGGCUUCAGUCAUCCCCUCUCUCCUUGUACCAUCCACACAAGAGACAAGCCUCUCGGCCAGGUGGGGGCCGGGCUGACCUGAUCUUCCCAAGACCUUUCUCAGAAGGAAUACUUAGGAUGCCAUGCCAUGGCUGGUGUCCACCAGCAGAGAAGUGUUGUCUGUCAGAAAAGGAGACGACAAAACCAACACCCCCCCCCCCCCCCCAGGCGGGCGCUUCCCCCCCAGAAC